ensembl:snoRNA
AUCCUUUUGCCGCUCAUAAGUGUGAUGAUUGGGUUUGCAUGCUCACGUGUAAGAUGUGUUUUCCUCAAACCUUGCUAUAAUAUCAGCACAGUACCUAUCUGACA